GCUCGAGUGGCGAACGGGUGAGUAACACGUGAGUAACCUGCCCUUGACUUUGGGAUAACUUCAGGAAACUGGGGCUAAUACCGGAUAGGAGCUCCUGCUGCAUGGUGGGGGUUGGAAAGUUUCGGCGGUUGGGGAUGGACUCGCGGAUUAUCAGCUUGUUGGUGGGGUAGUGGCUUACCAAGGCUUUGACGGGUAGCCGGCCUGAGAGGGUGACCGGCCACAUUGGGACUGAGAUACGGCCCAG
rnacentral:rRNA from 1 species